rnacentral:rRNA from 1 species
GAUGAACGCUGGCGGCGUGCCUAAUACAUGCAAGUCGAGCGAACAGACGAGGAGCUUGCUCCUCUGACGUUAGCGGCGGACGGGUGAGUAACACGUGGAUAACCUACCUAUAAGACUGGGAUAACUUCGGGAAACCGGAGCUAAUACCGGAUAAUAUAUUGAACCGCAUGGUUCUAUAGUGAAAGACGGUUUUGCUGUCACUUAUAGAUGGUUCCGCGCCGCAUUAGCUAGUUGGUAAGGUAACGGCUUACCAAGGCAACGAUGCGUAGCCGACCUGAGAGGGUGAUCGGCCACACUGGAACUGAGACACGGUCCAGACUCCUACGGGAGGCAGCAGUAGGGAAUCUUCCGCAAUGGGCGAAAGCCUGACGGAGCAACGCCGCGUGAGUGAUGAAGGUCUUCGGAUCGUAAAACUCUGUUAUUAGGGAAGAACAACUGUGUAAGUAACUAUGCACGUCUUGACGGUACCUAAUCAGAAAGCCACGGCUAACUACGUG